rnacentral:rRNA from 1 species
UGCGUAGGCGGCGCCUUAAGUCAGAUGUGAAAUAUCCAUGCUUAACGUGGAGGGUGCAUUUGAAACUGGGGCGCUUGAGUGCAGGAGAGGAAAGUGGAAUUCCUAGUGUAGCGGUGAAAUGCGUAGAUAUUAGGAGGAACACCAGUGGCGAAGGCGACUUUCUGGACUGUAACUGACGCUGAGGCACGAAAGCGUGGGGAGCAAACA